rnacentral:rRNA from 1 species
GACGAACGCUGGCGGCGUGCUUAACACAUGCAAGUCGAACGGUAAGGCCCUUCGGGGUACACGAGUGGCGAACGGGUGAGUAACACGUGGGUGAUCUGCCCUGCACUUCGGGAUAAACCUGGGAAACUGGGUCUAAUACCGGAUAGGACCACUGCCUGCAUGGGUGGUGGUGGAAAGCUUUUGCGGUGUGGGAUGGGCCCGCGGCCUAUCAGCUUGUUGGUGGGGUGAUGGCCUACCAAGGCGACGACGGGUAGCCGGCCUGGGAGGGUGACCGGCCAGACUGGGACUGAGAUACGGCCCAGACUCCUACGGGAGGCAGCAGUGGGGAAUAUUGCACAGUGGGCGCAAGCCUGAUGCAGCGACGCCGCGUGAGGGAUGACGGCCUUCGGGUUGUAAACCUCUUUCAGCACCGACGAAGCGCAAGUGACGGUAGGUGCAGAAGAAGGACCGGCCAACUACGUGCCAGCCGCCGCCGUAA